rnacentral:rRNA from 1 species
AUUGAACGCUGGCGGCGUGCUUAACACAUGCAAGUCGAACGGUAAGGCCCUUCGGGGUACACGAGUGGCGAACGGGUGAGUAACACGUGGGUGACCUGCCCUGCACUUCGGGAUAAGCCUGGGAAACUGGGUCUAAUACCGGAUAGGACUCCGGACUGCAUGGUCUGGGGUGGAAAGCUUUUGCGGUGUGGGAUGGGCCCGCGGCCUAUCAGCUUGUUGGUGGGGUGAUGGCCUACCAAGGCGACGACGGGUAGCCGGCCUGAGAGGGUGACCGGCCACACUGGGACUGAGAUACGGCCCAGACUCCUACGGGAGGCAGCAGUGGGGAAUAUUGCACAAUGGGCGCAAGCCUGAUGCAGCGACGCCGCGUGAGGGAUGACGGCCUUCGGGUUGUAAACCUCUUUCAGCAUCGACGAAGCGAAAGUGACGGUAGGUGCAGAAGAAGGACCGGCCAACUACGUGCCAGCAGCCGCAGUAA